GAUGAACGCUGGCGGCGUGCCUAAUACAUGCAAGUCGAGCGAACGGACGAGAAGCUUGCUUCUCUGAUGUUAGCGGCAGACGGGUGAGUAACACGUGGAUAACCUACCUAUAAGACUGGGAUAACUUCGGGAAACCGGAGCUAAUACCGGAUAAUAUUAUGAACCGCAUGGUUCAAAAGUGAAAGACGGUCUUGCUGUCACUUAUAGAUGGAUCCGCGCUGCAUUAGCUAGUUGGUAAGGUAACGGCUUACCAAGGCAACGAUGCAUAGCCGACCUGAGAGGGUGAUCGGCCACACUGGAACUGAGACACGGUCCAGACUCCUACGGGAGGCAGCAGUAGGGAAUCUUCCGCAAUGGGCGAAAGCCUGACGGAGCAACGCCGCGUGAGUGAUGAAGGUCUUCGGAUCGUAAAACUCUGUUAUUAGGGAAGAACAUAUGUGUAAGUAACUGUGCACAUCUUGACGGUACCUAAUCAGAAAGCCACGGCUAACUACGUG
rnacentral:rRNA from 1 species